GAUGAACGCUGGCGGCGUGCCUAAUACAUGCAAGUCGAGCGAAGGGACGAGAAGUUUGCUCCUCUGAUGUUAGCGGCGGACGGGUGAGUAACACGUGGAUAACCUACCUAUAAGACUGGGAUAACUUCGGGAAACCGUAGCUAAUACCGGAUAAUAUUUUGAACCGCAUGGUUCAAAAGUGAAAGACGGUCUUGCUGUCGCUUAUAGAUGGAUCCGCGCUGCAUUAGCUAGUUGGUAAGGUAACGGCUUACCAAGGCAACGAUGCAUAGCCGACCUGAGAGGGUGAUCGGCCACACUGGAUCUGAGACACGGUCCAGACUCCUACGGGGGGCAGCAGUAGGGAAUCUUCCGCAAUGGGCGAAAGCCUGACGGAGCAACGCCGCGUGAGUGAUGAAGUUCUUCGGAUCGUAAAACUCUGUUAUUAGGGAAGAACAUAUGUGUAAGUAACUGUGCACAUCUUGACGGUACCUAAUCAGAAAGCCACGGCUAACUACGUG
rnacentral:rRNA from 1 species